rnacentral:rRNA from 1 species
GUGCCAGCAGCCGCGGUAAUACGGAGGGGGUUAGCGUUGUUCGGAAUUACUGGGCGUAAAGCGUACGUAGGCGGAUCAGAAAGUUGGGGGUGAAAUCCCGGGGCUCAACCCCGGAACUGCCUCCAAAACUCCUGGUCUUGAGUUCGAGAGAGGUGAGUGGAAUUCCAAGUGUAGAGGUGAAAUUCGUAGAUAUUUGGAGGAACACCAGUGGCGAAGGCGGCUCACUGGCUCGAUACUGACGCUGAGGUACGAAAGUGUGGGGAGCAAACAGGAUUAGAUACCCUGGUAGUCCACACCGUAAACGAUGAAUGCCAGUCGUCGGGCAGUAUACUGUUUCGGUGACACACCUAACGGAUUAAGCAUUCCGCCUGGGAGAGUACGGGUCGCAAGAUUAAAACUCAAAGGAAUUGACGG